UUUUUUUUCUUUAAUCUCUCAGUGGAUAAUUUUCCAUCCUGAUGAUCAGAAGAGAGUUUGAGGGUGUCAGAUCCUUCAGAACAACAACCAGAAAACUAUCACAGCUGAGUCUGGACAGGACGUCACUCUGACAUGUCGAGCUCCAAACAACAACAUCAUAGUUGUAAAGUGGAGCAGAGCUGACCUGGGAGAUGAAUAUGUGCUAUUGAACCGUGACGGUCACUUUGUUACAGAUGACCAGCAUCCAUCUUUUAAGAACCGGGUGGAUCUGCAGGACAGACAGAUGAAGGAUGGAGACGUGUCUUUGAUUCUGAAGGAUGUGACGAUAAAUGACACUGGAACAUACGAGUGUCGUGUUGCCCAAAAGGAACCAAACCAAGAGAGACCCAGAUUGAAUCCCAUCAACAGCACCAACCUUCAUGUUGUUCCUCCAGGUCAGACAGGAGGACCUGUUGGUCUGUUAGUUUCUGCAGCACUUCUUCUUCAUGUUGUUGCUGUUGUUGGUUUCCUGAUCUACAGAAGAUGGAAACUGAAUCCUGCUGAUCCACAUGAAGCAGAGCAUCUUCAGCCUGAUUAACCAAAAAUCCUCACAGCUGAGUCUGGACAGGACGUCACUCUGACAUGUCGAGCUCCAAACAGCGAGUCAGAGAAAAUGAGCCAACAGCUUCAUCGACCUGAUUAUUGAUCCAGAGAGUUAGUUUGAGUUGAUCCAACCUAGACUCAGAUAUUUCUCUCAGUUUGAUCCUGACACUCUGACGCUUCAACAUGAUGAAUGUAACUUCUGUUGUAGGAAGAACAAAAAACAUUAAUUUUGGAGAUAUUGUAAACUUCUACAUUUGUAUGGCUUCUUAGGAGACCUUUGCGCAGUUACGUAACUUCUGUUGUAAUCAUCGCUUGUUUUUGCUGUGUUUUGGUUGUUGUAGAAAUGGUUUACAUGAGCAUUUAGUUUAGAUUCUAAGGUUUCUUUGGAUACCACACAUGUUGGUAUUUGCAUAAAAAGCUUGAAGUCAUGGAUGGUUGCCUCUUGAGCCCCUUAGAGAUUAAGUACGUUUCACAUGUAAACCCCCUGAGGUUUUUCUUUCAGUGUUUUUUGUGAUGUGGAGUUUUUUUUGUUGUUUUUUUUUGUUAUUAAUAGCAGGUUAA